UACAGAGGGUGCGAGCGUUGUCCGGAAUCACUGGGCGUAAAGGGCGCGUAGGUGGUUGGAUACGUCUGCUGUGAAAUGUCCCGGCCUAACCGGGAGGGUGCGGCAGAUACGGUCUGACUUGAGGGUGACAGAGGAGCGUAGAAUUCCGGGUGUAGUGGUGAAAUGCGUAGAGAUCCGGAGGAAUACCAGUGGCGCAAGCGGCGCUCUGGGUCACAUCUGACACUGAGACGCGAAGGCAUGGGGAGCGAACGGG
rnacentral:rRNA from 1 species